AUUCUGCAGGUUAAUCAACGAUUAAAUUAAUCGGAGCUCAAUCGAAGUGGCCGUCUUUGACUACAAAAGAAGGCUAUAAGUAAAAUGCGUCGUUGCUGUACGCAUGUUACAAGUAUAUCGUUUGCGAAGAGGAUUGCAUAUCUACAGGCGUUUCUAAUUUUUUGUCUGACAUUUGUCUUAAAUCAAUCAUCGAUGAAUUCCUCCUAAAUUCAAAAUGUAAUUUGAAAUAAAUAAUUCGAAAUUCAAACAUCACAGAUGUA